UGGGGAAUAUUGGACAAUGGGCGCAAGCCUGAUCCAGCCAUGCCGCGUGAGUGAUGACGGCCUUAGGGUUGUAAAGCUCUUUCACCCACGACGAUAAUGACGGUAGUGGGAGAAGAAGCCCCGGCUAACUUCGUGCCAGCAGCCGCGGUAAUACGAAGGGGGCUAGCGUUGCUCGGAAUCACUGGGCGUAAAGGGCGCGUAGGCGGCCAUUCAAGUCAGGGGUGAAAGGCCAGGGCUCAACCUUGGAACUGCCUUUGAUACUGUUUGGCUUGAGUCUGGUAGAGGUUGGUGGAACUGCGAGUGUAGAGGUGAAAUUCGUAGAUAUUCGCAAGAACACCGGUGGCGAAGGCGGCCAACUGGACCAGAACUGACGCUGAGGCGCGAAAGCGUGGGGAGCAAA
rnacentral:rRNA from 1 species